UACGUAGGGGGCGAGCGUUAUCCGGAUUCAUUGGGCGUGAAGCGCGCGUAGGCGGCCCGGCAGGCCGGGGGUCGAAGCGGGGGGCUCAACCCCCCGAAGCCCCCGGAACCUCCGCGGCUUGGGUCCGGUAGGGGAGGGUGGAACACCCGGUGUAGCGGUGGAAUGCGCAGAUAUCGGGUGGAACACCGGUGGCGAAGGCGGCCCUCUGGGCCGAGACCGACGCUGAGGCGCGAAAGCUGGGGGAGCGAACAGG
rnacentral:rRNA from 1 species